UAGCGUAGGGGCAAGCGUUGUCCGGAUUUAUUGGGCGUAAAGAGCGUGUAGGCGGUUCGGUAAGUCUGUCGUGAAAUCCCUGAGGCUGCAACCUCGGGCGUGCGAUGGAUACUGUCGGGCUAGAGUGACGGAAGAGGCGAGUGGAAUUCCUGGUGUAGCGGUGGAAUGCGACAGAUAUCAGGAGGAACACCAAUGCGAAGGCGCUCGCUGGGACGUUACUGACGCUGAGGCGCGAAAGCGUGGGGAGCAAACAGG
rnacentral:rRNA from 1 species